ACCCUCUCAGGAUGGCACUUGGAGAGUUUCCAGUACUCUACCAGUCUCAGCUAUGGGAGGGAGAGUCACGCAGAGGUGUGGCCAUGCCAUUCCUAGCUUGGGCACUGGCUAGAGAGUGGCAGGCAAUCUGCUACAAGU